UCGAGGGGCAGCGAGUAGAUUGCUUGCAAUCUACGUCGGCGACCGGCGCACGGGUGCGUAACGCGUAUGCAACCUACCCAUUACAGGGGGAUAACACUGAGAAAUCGGUACUAAUACCCCAUAACAUCCAGGGAGGCAUCUUCUUGGGUUGAAAACUCCGGUGGUAAUGGAUGGGCAUGCGUUGUAUUAGUUAGUUGGUGGGGUAACGGCUCACCAAGACGACGAUACAUAGGGGGACUGAGAGGUUAACCCCCCACAUUGGUACUGAGACACGGACCAAACUCCUACGGGAGGCAGCAGUGAGGAAUAUUGGUCAAUGGACGCAAGUCUGAACCAGCCAUGCCGCGUGCAGGAAGACGGCUCUAUGAGUUGUAAACUGCUUUUGUACGAGGGUAAACGCAGAUACGUGUAUCUGUCUGAAAGUAUCGUACGAAUAAGGAUCGGCUAACUCCGUGCCAGCAGCCGCGGUAAUACGGAGGAUUCAAGCGUUAUCCGGAUUUAUUGGGUUUAAAGGGUGCGUAGGCGGUCGGAUAAGUUAGAGGUGAAAUCCCGGGGCUCAACUUCGGAAUUGCCUCUGAUACUGUUCGGCUAGAGAGUAGUUGCGGUAGGCGGAAUGUAUGGUGUAGCGGUGAAAUGCUUAGAGAUCAUACAGAACACCGAUUGCGAAGGCAGCUUACCAAGCUACUUCUGACGUUGAGGCACGAAAGCGUGGGGAGCAAACAGGAUUAGAUACCCUGGUAGUC
rnacentral:rRNA from 1 species